UACGUAGGGGGCAAGCGUUGUCCGGAUUUAUUGGGCGUAAAGAGCGUGUAGGCGGUUUGGUAGGUCCGUUGUGAAAACUCGAGGCUCAACCUCGAGACGCCGAUGGAAACCAUCAGACUAGAGUCCGGAAGAGGAGAGUGGAAUUCCUGGUGUAGCGGUGAAAUGCGCAGAUAUCAGGAGGAACACCGAUGGCGAAGGCAGGUCUCUGGGCCACUACUGACGCUGAGAAGCGGAAAGCAUGGGGGAGCGAACAGG
rnacentral:rRNA from 1 species